CCUACGGGAGGCAGCAGUAGGGAAUCUUCCACAAUGGACUAAAGUCUGAUGGAGCAACGCCGCGUGAGUGAAGAAGGUUUUCGGAUCGUAAAGCUCUGUUGUUGGUGAAGAAGGAUAGAGGUAGUAACUGGCCUUUAUUUGACGGUAAU
rnacentral:rRNA from 1 species